UGGGGCAGGGGGGCAGGAGGGGCUCAGGGAGGAGAGACAUGCAACCCCUGGCCCUCUCUGCCCUUCCGUCCCUGGCCCCCGAAC
rnacentral:pre_miRNA from 13 species